rnacentral:sRNA from 1 species
GAGACCUGUAAGAACCUUGGGUGGGGGGAAAAUGGGAGCAUUUGCUCCUCCUAAGCCCUAGCAAAUUCCAAGUUUGGGCCAGCACCAUGGUUCUAAUUCUCAUCAUUCCCAGGCAGGGUUCAAGCGUGCAAUGGAUCUGGUUCAAGAGGAGUUUCUGCAGAGAUUAGAUUUCUACCAACACAGCUGGCUGCCAGCCCGGGCCUUGGUGGAAGAGGCCCUUGCCCAGCGAUUCCAGGUGGACCCAAGUGGGGAGAUUGUGGAACUGGCAAAAGGUGGAUGUCCCUGGAAGGAGCAUCUCUACCACCUGGAAUCUGGGCUGUCCCCUCCAGUGGCCAUCUUCUUUGUUAUCUACACUGACCAGGCUGGACAGUGGCGAGUACAGUGUGUGCCCAAGGAGCCCCACUCAUUCCAAAGCCGGCUGCCCCUGCCUGAGCCAUGGCGGGGUCUUCGGGACGAGGCCCUGGACCAGGUCAGUGGGAUCCCUGGCUGCAUCUUCGUCCAUGCAAGCGGCUUCAUUGGCGGUCACCGCACCCGAGAGGGUGCCUUGAGCAUGGCCCAUGCCACCUUGGCCCAGCGCUCAUACCUCCCACAAAUCUCCUA